GAAGCUGGGGAAAGCUGUUGGGAUGCUGCUGUGCAGAAUGUCCUUCAUUCCGCAGUCAGUCCUUCAGUUUGUGGGGGCAGGGUGUGGUUGGCUCCAACAAAGUUUUGAGGGAAUCCCUUCGAGGUACAUUAAGUGGCUGCCUGUGGAAUCUUGCUGUGCAUCCCCUUGGUCUGCGGAACAGCCUCAAACGUGUUGUGUGUCUGUCUACAGGGCCCUGAGCGGACACUGCUGACAGCUUUUAGUGGGUGAAAUGCAUCGUCCCUCCUUUACCCUCAACUCCGAUCACUCCCACCUCUUGUCAUCGCCUCACCCUCCAAAAUGUGAUAUUGGUGUCGCAAACAUCUAGGAGACACGGCGGGGAGAUUGCAACUUGUGGAAAAUGUAAGCCAGGAGUGUUUCAAUCAAAACAGAGGAAAUGGAGAGAGAGAGAGAUAGAGAGAGAGAAAUAGAUACCGAUUGUCAAGAGCAAGAAAAGCUGAACGGAGAGGUCGAUGGCGUCAAAGAGAAGAAGAUAGAGGGACAGAGGAGUGAGAGAGAGUGAGAUGGGGCAGAGACAGGCAGAGAGGAAGAGAGAGAGAGAGCGAUUGUUGAGCAGCAGAAAGCAGAGCAGAGAUGGAGAGGUGGAUGGGGCAGAGAGGAAGAGAGACAGAGGGACAGCCACAGACAGAAAAGUGACAGAGAGAGAGAGGGAGAGUUUGAUCAAUUCUCAAGAGUAGGACAAAGUUGGACAGAGAUAGAGAGGUGGAUUGGGACAGAGAGAGGGAGGGAAGACUGACAGUGAUAGAGACAGGGACAGAGAGAGAGAGAGAAAAGUAAGUGUAUCAGUUCAUCAUUAAUAUGUCAUGUAGAAACAGCCCCAAUCCUGGAAGUAGUGGUCAUGGGGUCUAUGCCUGCUGAAUGGGAGUGGGACGGUCUUUGGUCUUUUUAUUGUUUUUUUUCCCGCAGGGAGUCAGAAACUCAUCUAGAGGGACAAAGAGAGAGACGCAGGCUCCGGUUUCUGAAUCAGCUGGCUGCCAAUCUGACAUUUGUUCGUGUCCACGAUUGGAAAGCUGUGCAGGAAAAUUGACGCUUAAGGAGAAAGACAAGGCAGAUAGCUGCUCAGACCUGCACCAAGGAUCAAGGAGAGCGAAACAAGGAGGA